CAGUAGCGUAUCUUAAAGUUGUUGCAGUUAAAAAGCUCGUAGUUGGACUUCUACGGAUCAUUCAAAGUCUCAUGCACUCUUUUGUGUAGGGAUGACUAUUGAAUCUCCGUUUUUAGUUGUGACCCCGUCUACCCUUAAUUGGGACGGAUGGUGUGAAUCAACUCUUUUACUUUGAGAAAAAUAGCGUGCUCAAAGCAGGCGUUUCGCCUUGAAUAUGUUAGCAUGGGAUAAUACUAAAGACUACGCAUUUAUGUUGUUGGUUAUGAAUGCGAAGUAAUGAGUGAUGGGAACGGCUUGGGGGUCUCGGUAUUCUGCAGGGAGAGGUGAAAUUCUUGGAUCUGUGGAAGACCACCUGAUGCGAAAGCGUUGAUCAAAGACGUCUCCGUCAA
rnacentral:rRNA from 1 species